GACCCUGCCCCUGAAGUCCCGCGCACUCAGGACUAGUGAGUGUGUCUCUCUGCAGACCCAGGCCCGACCUGCCUUUGGCCCUGACCGCGCUGCUCCAGUGACAGAGUGAGGAUUGGAAGGUUAACCAGGCCUAGAGAGAAGGUUAAAGUUGAGAACAAGCCAGAUUCUGAUGUAGAUAGUAGUCAGCCGCAGGCAGUCACUACACCUGGG